CGACGGACGAACGGCUGGCGGCGUGCCUAAUACAUGCAAGUCGAACGGUCUUUCUAUGGAAGCUUGCUUCCACUGAGAAGAUAGUGGCGAACGGGUGAGUAACACGUGGGUAACCUGCCCAUAAGAGGGGGAUAACAUCCGGAAACGGGUGCUAAUACCGCAUAGUUUUCUUGAUCGCAUGAUUGAGAAAGGAAAGACGGCCUUUGUGCUGUCGCUUAUGGAUGGACCCGCGGCGUAUUAGUUAGUUGGUGGGGUAACGGCUCACCAAGACGAUGAUACGUAGCCGACCUGAGAGGGUGAUCGGCCACAUUGGGACUGAGACACGGCCCAAACUCCUACGGGAGGCAGCAGUAGGGAAUCUUCCGCAAUGGACGAAAGUCUGACGGAGCAACGCCGCGUGAGUGAAAGAAGGUUUUCGGAUCGUAAAACUCUGUUGUCAGAGAAGAACAAGUUGGAGAGUAACUGCUCCAGCCUUGACGGUAUCUGACCAGAAAGCCACGGCUAACUACGUGCCAGCCGCCGC
rnacentral:rRNA from 1 species